rnacentral:tRNA from 1 species
UGGGGUUGUGGCUCAGCGGUAGAGCGCUUACCUAGCACGUGUGAGACAUGGGUUCGAUCCUCAGCACCACAA